rnacentral:rRNA from 1 species
CACCAGCGCCACUAGUGGCAAUCGUGUAUUUGGCCUAAAGCGUCCGUAGCCGGAUUGGCAAAUUCUCUGUGAAAUUGCACAGCUCAACUGGGCAGCGUGCAGGGAAGACUACCAAUCUUGGAACCGGGAGGGGUACAGAGUAUUCCAGGGGAAGCGGUAAAAUGCUAUAAUCCCUGGAGGACUACCGAUGGCGAAGGCACUGUACCAGAACGGAUUCGACGGUGAGGGACGAAAGCCAGGGGAGCGAUCCGGAUUAGAUACCCUCGUA